CACGGACCGCACGAACGUAUUCGGUAUCACUGGGCUUAAAGGGUGCGUAGGCGGCUUUGCAAGUUGGGUGUGAAAGCCCUCGGCUCAACCGAGGAAUUGCGCUCAAUACUGCCGAGCUCGAGAGAGACAGAGGUAAGCGGAACUAAUGGUGGAGCGGUGAAAUGCGUUGAUAUCAUUAGGAACACCGGUGGCGAAGGCGGCUUACUGGGUCGUUUUCUGACGCUGAGGCAC
rnacentral:rRNA from 1 species